rnacentral:rRNA from 1 species
UGGGGAAUAUUGCGCAAUGGGGGAAACCCUGACGCAGCGACGCCGCGUGGGUGAUGAAGGCCUUCGGGUCGUAAAGCCCUGUCGGGAGGGAAGAAACACUCCGGACCUAAUACGUCCGGGAAUUGACGGUACCUCCUAAGGAAGCACCGGCUAACUCCGUGCCAGCAGCCGCGGUAAUACGGAGGGUGCUAGCGUUGUUCGGAAUCACUGGGCGUAAAGGGCGUGUAGGCGGUCUGUUAAGUCUGAUGUGAAAUCCCCUCGCUCAACGAGGGAACUGCGUCGGAUACUGGCAGACUUGAGUACCGGAGAGGAAGGUGGAAUUCUUGGUGUAGCGGUGAAAUGCGUAGAUAUCAAGAGGAACACCUGAGGUGAAGACGGGUUGCUGGGCUGACACUGACGCUGAGGCGCGAAAGCCAGGGGAGCAAACGGGAUUAGAUACCCCAGUAGUCCCUGAGCGGGCUGGCAAGGCGCAU